GCGAGUAUAACUCAGUUGGUUAGAGUGUUAGGUUGUGGUUCUAAAAGUCGCAGGUUCGAGUCCCGCUAUUCGCC
rnacentral:tRNA from 1 species